AUUGAACGCUGGCGGCAUGCGUAACACAUGCAAGUCGAACGGUUUCUGGUGCUUGCACCGGAGAUAGUGGCGGACGGGUGAGUAAUACGUAGGAAUCUGUCUUAGAGAGGGGGACGACCUGAGGAAACUUAGGCUAAAACUGCAUAAACUCGGAAGAGAAAAGCAGGGGACCGGAAACGGCCUUGUGCUCUAAGGUGAGCCUACGACGGAUUAGCAAGUUGGUGGGGUAAAGGCCUACCAAGGCGAUGAUCUGUCGCUGGUCUGAGUGGACGGACCGCCCCACUGGGAGCGGGCUACGGACCCAGCUCCUCCGGGAGGCAGCAGUGGGAAAUAUUGGACAAUGGGGGGAACCCUGAUCCAGCGAUGCCGCGUGUGGGAAGAAGGCCUGCGGGUUGUAAAGCACUUUCAGUUGGAAAGAGAAGCGAGAUGAGAAUAUUGUUUCGUGGAGACGUUACUAACAGAAGAAGCACCGGCUAACUCUGUGCCAGCCGCCGCAGUAA
rnacentral:rRNA from 1 species